rnacentral:rRNA from 1 species
UACAGAGGUCUCAAGCGUUGUUCGGAUUCCUUGGGCGUAAAGGGUGCGUAGGUGGCGCGCUAAGUCAGGUGUGAAAUUUCGGAGCUUAACUCCGAAACUGCAUUCGAUACUGCCGUGCUUGAGGACUGGAGAGGAGACUGGAAUUUACGGUGUAGCGGUGAAAUGCGUAGAUAUCGUAAGGAAGACCAGUGGCGAAGGCGGGUCUCUGGACAGUUCCUGACGCUGAGGCACGAAGGUCAGGGGAGCAAACGGG